CCUACGGGGGGCAGCAGUGGGGAAUAUUGCGCAAUGGGCGGAAGCCUGACGCAGCGACGCCGCGUGCGGGACGAAGGCCUUCUGGUCGUAAACCGCUUUCAGCAGGGACGAGGCGCUCACGGUGCCGGCACCUGCAGAUGAAGCCCCGGUAAACUACGUGCCCGCAGCCGCGGUAAUCCGUCGGGGGCGAGCGUUAUCCGGAUUCAUUGGGCGUAAGGCGCGCGUGGGCGGCCUGUUAGGUCGGGGGUAAAAUGCCGGGGCUCAACCCCGGUCCGCCCCCGAUACCGGCAGGCUUGAGUGUGUGAGGGGAAGGCGGAAUGCGCGGUGUAGCGGUGGAAUGCGCAGAUAUCGGGAAGAACACCGGCGGCGAAGGCGGCCUGCUGGGCCACGACUGACGCUGAGGAGCGAAAGCUAGGGGAGCGAACAGGAUUAGAUACCCUUGUAGUC
rnacentral:rRNA from 1 species